GCUCCCAGAUCACCAACCCGACCUUUAAACCCACCACCAGCACAGUAGUGUCGUCUUCAGUUCCGAGGAGAGAGGGCACUUUCCGACGAAGAGUAUCGAUCCAAGGUUGAGAGAGGCUUGUGUUUUCGCGGUGAAGAGAAGUUUUCGCUGGGUCACAGGUGUCGGUUUCGCCAAUUAGGGGUAAUGAUUUGUAGUGAGGAAGAAAUGGAGGAAACAGCGAGCGAAGAACUUCCGGUGGAUAGCAGAGAGAUAGAAAUAUGUCUAAAUUCGAGCUCUGUCAUGGGAAUUGAUUCACCGAAGACAAUGAAGCUCAUGGGGGAAUUGAUGGGGAAAAAAGUGUUGGUUUUAAUUGAUAGUGCGGCGACCCACAAUUUUUUGUCUGAGAAGAUGGUGAAAGAAUUAAGGAUUCCGAUUCAAGCUGCCAACUAUUCCGUGGUACUGGGUGAUGAGCGAAGGGUGCGAGGAAUUGGCCGAUGUGAAGAGGUUAUUCUGCAGCUACAGGGGAUAAUGAUUAAACAUAAUUUUUUGCCAUUUAAAUUGGGUGCUGUGGGUGCAAUAUUAGGUGUCGACUGGUUGAAUAAGCUGGGGGAAGUGAAGACCAACUGGAAGACACACACAAUGAAGCUCUAGUGGGAAGGGAAACGUGUAGCACUAAAGGGGAAUGCCGCUCUCUUUAAGCUGGAAUCUUCUCUCAAAACUUUGUUUAAGUUGGUUUGUGACGGUGCCGACGGAUUUUGGGUGGCCCUGGAGUCCCGAGACUUACAACCGGAUCAAGAGGACCAUCCUUUACAUCCCCAGGUUUCAGGAUUAUUGACUGAAUUCGAAGUGUUGUUUUGGGAAUGAGGAGACAUGACCACGCUAUUUGGCUUCGGGAAGGUGCUCAGCCACCCAAUUUAAGACCGUACCAAUUCCUUCAAUACCAGAAAGGUGAGAUUUAGAAAAUUGUGCAUGAUAUGCUCACUGCCGAGGUAGUUUGACCCAGUAUUAGUCCAUUUUCCAGCCCUAUUAUAUUUUCGUUACAAAGAAGGAUGGCGGGUGGCAUUUUUGUGUUGAUUCUUCUGCGCUUAAUCUAGUAACAGUUCUGGAUAAGUUUCCGAUUCCCAUAAUUGAUGAAUUAUUAGAUGAGUUGAGUGGCACUGCAGUCUUUACAAAGUUAGACCUUAAAUUCGGCUACCACCAAAUCCUUAUGAGGGAAGAGGAUGUAGAAAAAACAGCAUUCUAGACACAAGAGGGUCACUACGAGUUCUUGGUGAUGCUGUUUGCGUUAUCAAAUGCUCCGGUGACAUUUCAUAGUUUGAUAAAUGACAUUGUCCGCCCGUAUUUACAAAAAUUCGUUUUGGUUUUCUUCAAAGAUAUACUUAUCUACAGUAGGAUCAUUUGCAGCAUCUGAAGAUUGUUCUGGGGAUUUUAACAAAUCAGCAGCUGGUUCUAAAUAAGAAUAAGUGUUCAUUCAGCAGAGAUCAUAUUGAGUAUCUUGGACAUAUUAUUUCCAGCAGUGGGGUGGUGGCAGAUUCGAAGAAGAUAGCAGACAUGGCAUGUUGGCCAGUACAGCGCAAUAUACAUGAUCUCAGAGGAUUUUUGGGGUUGACAGGCUACUAUCGUGGAUUUGUUAAGGGGUAUGGCAAGAUCGCUGAACCACUAACUAAACUCUUGAAGAAAAAUGCUUUCCAAUGGUCUGAUGAAGCACAGCAAACCUUUCAGAACCUGAAACAAGCUAUGAUCACAGGGCCAGUGUUGGCCAUUCCAUAUUUUUCAAAACAAUUUAUAGUAGAGACUGAUGCUUUCGGUAAGGGGCUAGGCACAUUUUGGUGCAGGAGGGUCAACUGAUAGCUUACCUAAGCAAAGCUCUUUCUCUUUGAAAUCAGGGGAAGUCGGUUUAUGAACGUGAACUCAUGGCUGUCGUGCUUGCUCUGCAGAAUUGGAGACAUUAUCUCCUGGGCUGACAUUUUCAGGUUCACACAGACCAAUGCAGUUUACGAUUUCUCACAGAACAGAAGAUCGUCGGUCAUGACCAACAGUGUUGUCUUGUCAAGAUGCUUGGAUUCGAUUUUGACAUAGUUUACAAGCCUGGCUGUGAGAAUAAAACCCUGCUAUGCUGUCCCGAAAUCCCUCUUUUACUAACACAUCGCAGGCCAUGUCUACAGGUCAAAAUCAAGGGGUUGAUUGUAUUCUGCAAGAGGUUGGUAAAGAUGACAGAUUGCAGCAACUUAUUCAGGAUAUUAUCAGCAAUCCAAAUUCGCAUACUGGCUAUUCACUCAGAGGAGGUCUUCCGUUAUAUCAGGGACAGUUGGUAUUCCAGGUUUAUUCCCCAAUUGCUCACAGAAUUCCAUUCUUCUCCCUAUGGUGGCCAUUCUGGCUACUUUUGUACCUUCAAACACCUUGCUUCCGUGCUUUACUGGGAAGGAAUGAUACUGGAUGUGCAGAGGUUUGCAGCUGAAUGUGGAGUUUGCCAGAGGAUGAAGUAUCAGGCCUUCUUCAGCCUCUGCCAAUACCGAACAAAAUACGGGAAGAGGUGUCUAUGGAUUUCAUCUUGGGAUUGCCUACAGUUAAGUGGCAGAAUGUUAGUUUGGUCGUGGUGGACAGAUUGUUGAAGUAUGCUCAUUUCGUUGCUAUUAGGCAUCCAUUUACAGCUCGUGAUGUUGCAGCUGUCUUCAUUAAGGAGAUCGUUCAUCUCCUUGGUUUUCCCUUUUCGAUAGUUUCCGAUCGUGACCGCCUUUUAAUGAGUCAUUCUUGGCAAGAAUUAUUCCGGAUAUCAGGGACUCAGUUGAAGUUUAGUUCGGCCUAUCAUCUGUAAAUGGAUGGCCAAACGAAGGUCGUCAAUCAAUGUUUAGAGCAAUAUUUUUGCUGUUUUUGUGCACGGCAGCCUCAAAGUUGGCCUAAAUAGUUAUCUUUGGUUGAAUUCUGGUAUAAUUCUUCCUUUCAUUCCUCUGCUGGCAUGUCACCAUUUAAACCAGUUUAUGACCGUGAACCUGCUCCUCUAGGACUGUGGGCAGAUGACCAAUCCAAUGUUCAGGAUGUGAAUGCAUUAAUGCAACCGAGGAACUUUAUUUUGGAUGAAUUGAAAUCCAAUUUACAUGGGGCUCAGGAGGUGAUGAAACAAACAGCAGAUAAAAAAUGCAGAUAUGUGGAAUUUCAGAUCAUUUGAGAUCGUGGAUCGAGUGGGGCAAGUCGCUUACAAAUUAAGGCUGCCAGAAUCUGCUAAGAUACAUACUGUUUUCUGUGUUUCACAGUUGAAGAAGCAAUUUGGGUCUGAUUCUGAGUCUCAGCAGAUACCAGAGGAUCUCCAGGAAGAUUUAGAGUUGGUGGUCCAGCCUGAAGAUGUCUUGGAUUAUAGAUAUUCCAGCCAGAGUGAAUUGGAAUUGUUAGUUAAGUGGAGAGGUCUUCCUUCUUGUGAUAAUACCUGGGAAUCCUAUGACAACAUGGUUCAUCUUUUUCCAACCUUGCUCCUUUCAAUGGGCCGGGCUAUGUUAGGACCCGAGUUUACGUAAGUAAGAAGGCUAAAACCGAAGCAAAGGGAAGAGAGGGAAGGGCAACAGGUGGCAGAGAUUCUGGAGCUCGACGCCAGUUCGAAGCAGAUUCAGUUCAGGAUUCACAACAGCUCAAGAAAAGGGCGAUAACAGAAUUAACGGUUCAACAGAAUAAGGGGACCACGGGUAAAUUGAAGAAUGACAUGGCAGCAGCUGAAGAUAGAAGUGAAUUAGAGGGAAAAGAGCAUUAUAUGGAGCAGGAAAGGAAAGGAAAGGGGUUAAGCAGAAAUUGAGGAAGUACAGGGAAUUUAGGGAGAGAUCCAGCCUCUCUAAUGCUGGAGUUGUAUGAGUGCUGAGGGAAGGUUUGUAUUCGGUAUUGAUAAUUUGUAUCAGCAUUAUUAUUGUGGAAUGGUAGAGACCAAUAAUGAAUUCAAGAUUUCCUUCAAUCAUAAUUCUUCCAUAUAUCAUUUCUAUUUUUGUACAUUUAGUAUUGCCAUUUACAUUCUUGUUAUUGCGCUUGGAAGAUUGGUGAUUAGUGGUGAUUGUAGGAAGGGUACUGCAGUAGUGUGUCUGGAGGUGAUGCGUUGCUGGAGAAGUUAGCUGGGUUGACUGGAAUCUCACCAGUCUAGGCGUUGCAUUUUCAAAACAUAUUGUUCAGAUAUAUACUUGCAAUCCAACCGGAGAACUAAGACAGCACUUAGAAGUAUGAGAUGCAGUAGCUGGACGCAGGCAGUAUACAUUUGAAGGCCAUGAAGCUCCUGUGUAUUCAGUCUGCCCUCACCACAAAGAAAAUAUUCAGUUUAUAUUUUCUACUGCCAUUGAUGGAAAGAUCCUUGGC